CGUGUUUACACUCUGUCCCAUGGUGCAGUGUGUUGUCCUGUUGAGCUCGUCUUGUCACCCUGUUUCUGUGGAUUUUGGAUUACCUUGUUUUUUUGGACUCUGUUUAUCAGCCACUCUGCCACCAUCCUGGACAUCCGCAGAGAGUCCUCUGGUUUCCAUAAAACACACCAGUCUGUUGGUUACCAUCCUCUCCAUGACUUUACAAAGCACUGCUCUGAACUAGGGUCAGAUGCCUCUUUGCCUGGCUUCAAGAUAGACCACAACUGCAUGUUUCCAUUCCUUAGGCAAAUAGCCCUCAGCCCACAAAGUAUUAAACAAAGCUAAGAUUUCA